rnacentral:rRNA from 1 species
GGCGGCAGGCUUAACACAUGCAAGUCGAGCGGGCGUAGCAAUACGUCAGCGGCAGACGGGUGAGUAACGCGUGGGAACGUACCUUUUGGUUCGGAACAACACAGGGAAACUUGUGCUAAUACCGGAUAAGCCCUUACGGGGAAAGAUUUAUCGCCGAAAGAUCGGCCCGCGUCUGAUUAGCUAGUUGGUGAGGUAACGGCUCACCAAGGCGACGAUCAGUAGCUGGUCUGAGAGGAUGAUCAGCCACAUUGGGACUGAGACACGGCCCAAACUCCUACGGGAGGCAGCAGUGGGGAAUAUUGGACAAUGGGCGCAAGCCUGAUCCAGCCAUGCCGCGUGAGUGAUGAAGGCCCUAGGGUUGUAAAGCUCUUUUGUGCGGGAAGAUAAUGACGGUACCGCAAGAAUAAGCCCCGGCUAACUUCGUGCCAGCAGCCGCGGUAAUACGAAGGGGGCUAGCGUUGCUCGGAAUCACUGGGCGUAAAGGGUGCGUAGGCGGGUCUUUAAGUCAGGGGUGAAAUCCUGGAGCUCAACUCCAGAACUGCCUUUGAUACUGAGGAUCUUGAGUUCGGGAGAGGUGAGUGGAACUGCGAGUGUAGAGGUGAAAUUCGUAGAUAUUCGCAAGA